rnacentral:rRNA from 1 species
AUUGAACGCUGGCGGCAGGCUUUACACAUGCAAGUCGAACGGCAGCACGGGCUUCGGCCUGGUGGCGAGUGGCGAACGGGUGAGUAAUGCAUCGGAACGUGCCGUGUAAUGGGGGAUAACGUAGCGAAAGUUACGCUAAUACCGCAUACGCCCUGAGGGGGAAAGCGGGGGAUCGUAAGACCUCGCGUUAUACGAGCGGCCGAUGUCGGAUUAGCUAGUUGGUGGGGUAAAGGCCUACCAAGGCGACGAUCCGUAGCGGGUCUGAGAGGAUGAUCCGCCACACUGGGACUGAGACACGGCCCAGACUCCUACGGGAGGCAGCAGUGGGGAAUUUUGGACAAUGGGCGAAAGCCUGAUCCAGCCAUGCCGCGUGAGUGAAGAAGGCCUUCGGGUUGUAAAGCUCUUUCAGACGGAAAGAAAUCUUCUGGGCUAAUACCCCGGGAGGAUGACGGUACCGUAAGAAGAAGCACCGGCUAACUACGUGCCAGCAGCCGCGGUAA